rnacentral:tRNA from 1 species
GGGCCUGUAGUUGAACGGUACAACGCGUCAUUCGCAUUGACGAGUUCGGGGUUCAAUUCCCCGCAGGUCCACAA